AGGGUUUGAUCAUGGCUCAGGAUGAACGCUAGCUACAGGCUUAACACAUGCAAGUCGAGGGGCAGCAUUUUUAUAGCAAUAUAAAAGAUGGCGACCGGCGCACGGGUGAGUAACACGUAUCCAACCUGCCGAUAACUCGGGGAUAACCCUUCGAAAGAAGGCCUAAUACCCGAUGGCAUAUCCCUUCCGCCUGGUUGGGAUAUUAAAGAACUUCGGUUAUCGAUGGGGAUGCGUUCCAUUAGCUUGUUGGCGGGGUAACGGCCCACCAAGGCUUCGAUGGAUAGGGGUUCUGAGAGGAAGGUCCCCCACAUUGGAACUGAGACACGGUCCAA
rnacentral:rRNA from 1 species